AGGAGCUGGCAGUUCUUUGGCGAGAGAUGCAAUUUAUUCUGUCCUCCUCCUUUCAGAGAAAUGCUAAUCCUUCAUAGGCAACUGGAGGGGAAGACUAAACUGUGUUGAUGAUGAAUGACAAUAAUCCUUUGUCCACAGCUACCUCCUCCUAGGGUGGAACCUUAAGAGUUUAAUCAAAUGUUGGUAAGUAAAUUAAUGCCUUACUGCUUAAAGAGUUAAAAAGGAAGUGGUGGCAAGAAGGGUUGUGAGAAUAUAUUUCCUCUGCCGUGACUCUCAAAAGCUUAAUUGCAAAGACACUGAUGUGUGUGUGUUUAGUGUUUUAGGCUCCUUAUUUACAGACACACAUAUUUAACAGUCACUGUCCCCAAACUGUCUCACGUCAAAGCACGUCAGUGUUAAAGACGUUACCUUCAAGGUUUUAAAGAUCAAAGCGCUGUGUUGGAAUUACUUUCCUGUUGUUAAAAACAACACCAGCAACAAAACUCAUGCAUCUGUGCAUCAGUAAGAAUAACAUGACCUUUAUCUCCAAAUCUUCCAACAUCAUCGUGAGGUAGGUUGCAUUUUUCAUUCCAGUUCAGCUCACAUUUGAGGGGCAACUCCAUGCCAGGUCUGCUGUGCUGGCCCCUCUGACAGCCAUCUCCUUUAACCCUUAUGAGAGUCUGCCAACUAGGUAUUAUUAUGUUCAUCACAGUUGAGAAAAAAAUCCGUGCUCAAAGAGGGCAAGCAGAGCCUCUUGGCUUUCAAGUUUUCCUCUGACAUAAAAACAAAAACAAAAAAACUGGUUCCCAGAAGGAAUUUAAAAAUUUGACCAAUGAUUAGCUUCUGAGACUCACACCGUGAGUAAGGACUAAACACUAGGUUUUCCAAGUCCCAAUCCAGGUUCUUUCACCACAUGACAGCAUUGCCACCCAAAGUGCUGGGUUUUCCCAAGAGGUGUUUGGAUGGGAUUCCGAGCCAGCGAGAUGCAAAUAGGUCUGACCCACAUUCCAGCGCUUGGAUAAAUAAAAACUCCUGAAGAGCAGAGCCCACUUCGUGUGCUUAAUUUGAGAGCCCCACUGUGGACAGUCAAUCAAUGUUAAACAACUCGAGGCACAUUUGCCAAGGACUAACAAGCAUGGACUCAGUUUUAGCAAUUAGAAUACUAGGAAUAUUAUGGCGGAAACUCAUAAAGGUGCCGAAAGGCUGAAUCAAGUAGUCAUAAAUUUUUAAGAGUGAAAAAACCCCUCUGAAGUCAUCUAAUGAAACUCUAAUUUCAUAAAUAAUAUCCUGAGAAAUUAAUGUGUACCAGGAUUUGACACCAGUCGGCAACAGACCCUUUCCUGUCCCCUAGUUCUAUUUAAUUUUAUUUAUGUCGUGGUAUUAUGAGAUAAUGUUUUCAGGAAUGUAAUAUGUGGUAAGCUGAAAUUGGAUUGACUGGUUAUACAGUCAUCAGUGACAAUGAAUUGUCGGUCAGAUUUAACUUUUCCUUAUUCCACUGACCAACUGACCUCUUAAGAAAUCUUCCUUGCUGGCUUUCAAGUUCAACCAAAUUGGUAUCCUUUCUCAAUAAGUGUUUCAUUAAUUGUGGCCUCCGGAACUUCUCUCCUGGCAUUUCUCCCUUUCUGCUCGCCCUCUAAGCUCUCUGCACCUCCUCCAAGGCUUCUCUAAUUACUCUUCUUCCCAUCAAUGUUUAUCUUGCUUUGAUUUGCAUAAUAUUUAUGUUAAAUGUGUUCCUUCCUAUCAGAGAAAUGACUUGCUUAUUGCCUGGAUGUUUCUUAUAUCUGUAAAGGACAGGAUAAAUUUUUCUACUCAUUUAAUUAAUUUAUUUAUUUAUUCUUUUUACAGCCACACCUGUGGCAUAUGGAGGUUCCCAGGGCUUAGAGGUCGAAUCAGAGCCGCAACUGUAGGCCUACGCCAGAGCCACAGCAACACUGGAUCCGAGCUGCAUCUGUGACCUAUGCCAUAGCUGCAGCAGCACCUGAUCAUUCAUCCACGGAGCCACAAUGGGAACUCCUGUUUUUAUUUUUUAUGAAUAUCUAAGACCGUGCUGCGCUCCAAAUAUUUGUUAAAGGAACAAACCAUGUUAAUUAACUUUGCUACAAUGGGGAGGCUUCAUUCUUGACAGAAAAUGAAAUUAACUUUUACCUCGCUUGAUUAUUCCGAUUUCUCAAAGAUUAAUUAAUGAGUCACAUGCACAUAAGUUUGAUAGUCUUUCAAACAUUAGUUCAGUGGUUGAUAUUCUAUCAAAAUAUUGGCCUAGUGGUUCUCAACUUUGGCUGUUCAUUUGAAUCAACUGAGAAGCUUUUAAAGCUACCAAAACCCAGGAGUUCCUGUCAUGGCUCAGAGGGUUAAGAACUCAUCAGGUAUUCUUGAGGAUUUGGGUUCAAUCCCUGGCCUUAGUGGGUUUGAUCCCUGGCCUUAACCACUCAGUGGGUUAAGGAUCUGGCAUUGCUGUGGCAGUGGUGCAGGCUAGUUGCUGUAGCUCUGAUUCCACCCCUAGCCUGGGAAUUUCCAUAUGCCACAGGUGCGGCCCUAAAAAAAUAAAAAACAAAACAAAACAAAAAACUCACUACCAAUACCCAGAUCCCACCACAGAUCGACUGAAUCAGAAUAUCUGCAGGUAUGCCCAAGCAAUGAUUUGCUUGUAUCAUACUGAUACUUGGUUUGCACAUAUUGAUUUGUACAAGCUCACCCUUAAUAGAUUUUUCUAAAGAAUGAGCAUGUUCAAAUAUGCUUUUGCUUUGUCCUUAGAAUUACAAAAUUUUAGAACAGAGAACUGAGAUCCUGCCUGGAUCAAUUCUUUGACAACCGAGAACACUAUCCCAUGGCAGAGGACAUGCUUCGUAGGAUAUAACAAAGUCCAAAAUAAAUGACUAUUUAUGGGUUUUUCACUGGCUCUGACCUAUCAAUCUAUAACAUUUUAUGCUCUCAGAGCCAGAGCACUUCUAGCCACUUACUAUACCACUUACUAGCAGAGCAAAGCUAAUCCACACACUGAACUUAGCUUUUUCUAUGAAAAGGAAGAUAGUGCCUCUCCUACUGACCUUGCAUUUUUUCACCUAUUACAAAGAUUCAAUCAGAUAUUUUAAGAAUAGCAAAGCACUGCCCAUAUAUAUGUAUGGAAUUAUAUUACCAUCUCUCAGAGAAGUAACUUGUGAAUAAACAUGUUGCUUUGAUUACCUAGGCUCUAAAUCCUAAUUCCUUGGCACCAAGCCCCCCAAGAAUCAACAGGAACUGGAGUUACUAUGGACUAGAAACUCUAUUCACUGAAAAUAUCAUAUAACUAAAUAUUCAGGGUGAUAAAGUGAUGUAGUGACCCAGGAUUUAGCUAGUCUAGGCUCUAGUCCCAGAGUCUGCUUUUAACUAUUGACUUUGGACAAGUCACUUAAUUUUUCUAGGACCAGAGUCUCGGCAGUGGUCAAAGAGGACUUGAAUUUAGAGUCAAAGAUCCUUUUCAUUUAUAAAAUCAGUAUAUUAGUGCUUAAUUAAAAUUACUAAAGAGCAAUUUCCCAAGCCAUUAAUUCAUGUGGUUUCACAUUUAAAAAAUCUCUUUUUAGAAGUAGAGAGUUGGAGCCUAAAAACAUAAGCCUAUUUCUGGUAAACAGACAUUUCAACUCAUGUGUAUAAGAUCCUCUUUAAAGAAACAUCUCUACUCAGAUACCUUAUGCUUGUCAGUAUCCUGUGCAGGAGCUCUUGUUCCAAAAAUAAAUAUAUGGUAACCCAAAAAGCAUGUAAUACAGUACUAGGCAGGCAGUAGGUACCCAAAUAUUUUAUGUUACAGCUCUCGGUUUGGAUUCUAGUUGGUGUUAUUUAUCUAAUCUGAGUCUGAUUUCUUAUAUAUACACAGGAAAAUUACCUUCUUCAAUGCAUUGAGAUGGUGUAUACUAAAAUGUUUUGUAAACAAUUAACUGCAAGGUAUUAUUAUAACCUAGGGAAUAUAACUUCCUAUUCCAUGAUCUUUCUAAGAAGGAGAUUUUUCAAAAAUCUUUCUGACUUUACUAUGGAUGUAGCACUUAACCUCAAUGUCUGGCUCAACAAAUAUGCUAAAUAAAGGUUUGCUGCGUGAAAAGUAAAAUCC
rnacentral:lncRNA from 1 species